GGGUUGUGAGGUUAAGCGACUAAGCGUACACGGUGGAUGCCCUGGCAGUCAGAGGCGAUGAAGGACGUGCUAAUCUGCGAUAAGCGUCGGUAAGGUGAUAUGAACCGUUAUAACCGGCGAUUUCCGAAUGGGGAAACCCAGUGUGAUUCGUCACACUAUCAUUAACUGAAUCCAUAGGUUAAUGAGGCGAACCGGGGGAACUGAAACAUCUAAGUACCCCGAGGAAAAGAAAUCAACCGAGAUUCCCCCAGUAGCGGCGAGCGAACGGGGAGCAGCCCAGAGCCUGAAUCAGUGUGUGUGUUAGUGGAAGCGUCUGGAAAGGCGUGCGAUACAGGGUGACAGCCCCGUACACAAAAAUGCACAUGCUGUGAGCUCGAUGAGUAGGGCGGGACACGUGGUAUCCUGUCUGAAUAUGGGGGGACCAUCCUCCAAGGCUAAAUACUCCUGACUGACCGAUAGUGAACCAGUACCGUGAGGGAAAGGCGAAAAGAACCCCGGCGAGGGGAGUGAAAAAGAACCUGAAACCGUGUACGUACAAGCAGUGGGAGCACGCUUAGGCGUGUGACUGCGUACCUUUUGUAUAAUGGGUCAGCGACUUAUAUUCUGUAGCAAGGUUAACCGAAUAGGGGAGCCGAAGGGAAACCGAGUCUUAACUGGGCGUUAAGUUGCAGGGUAUAGACCCGAAACCCGGUGAUCUAGCCAUGGGCAGGUUGAAGGUUGGGUAACACUAACUGGAGGACCGAACCGACUAAUGUUGAAAAAUUAGCGGAUGACUUGUGGCUGGGGGUGAAAGGCCAAUCAAACCGGGAGAUAGCUGGUUCUCCCCGAAAGCUAUUUAGGUAGCGCCUCGUGAAUUCAUCUCCGGGGGUAGAGCACUGUUUCGGCAAGGGGGUCAUCCCGACUUACCAACCCGAUGCAAACUGCGAAUACCGGAGAAUGUUAUCACGGGAGACACACGGCGGGUGCUAACGUCCGUCGUGAAGAGGGAAACAACCCAGACCGCCAGCUAAGGUCCCAAAGUCAUGGUUAAGUGGGAAACGAUGUGGGAAGGCCCAGACAGCCAGGAUGUUGGCUUAGAAGCAGCCAUCAUUUAAAGAAAGCGUAAUAGCUCACUGGUCGAGUCGGCCUGCGCGGAAGAUGUAACGGGGCUAAACCAUG
rnacentral:rRNA from 1 species